GACGAACGCUGGCGGCGUGCUUAACACAUGCAAGUCGAACGGAAAGGCUCCAGCUUGCUGGAGUGCUCGAGUGGCGAACGGGUGAGUAACACGUGGGCAAUCUGCCCUGCACUCUGGGAUAAGCCUGGGAAACUGGGUCUAAUACCGGAUAGGACCUUGCUCCUCAUGGGGUUUGGUGGAAAGUUUUUCGGUGCAGGAUGAGCCCGCGGCCUAUCAGCUUGUUGGUGGGGUAAUGGCCUACCAAGGCGACGACGGGUAGCCGGCCUGAGAGGGUGAUCGGCCACAUUGGGACUGAGAUACGGCCCAGACUCCUACGGGAGGCAGCAGUGGGGAAUAUUGCACAAUGGGCGAAAGCCUGAUGCAGCGACGCCGCGUGAGGGAUGACGGCCUUCGGGUUGUAAACCUCUUUCAGUAGGGACGAAGCGCAAGUGACGGUACCUGCAGAAGAAGCACCGGCUAACUACGUG
rnacentral:rRNA from 1 species